rnacentral:rRNA from 1 species
GACGAACACUGGCGGCGUGCUUAACACAUGCAAGUCGAACGCUGAAGCUCAGCUUUUGUUGGGUGGAUGAGUGGCGAACGGGUGAGUAACACGUGAGUAACCUGCCUCCUUCUUUGGGAUAACGCCCGGAAACGGGUGCUAAUACUGGAUAUUCACUGGUCUUCGCAUGGGGGUUGGUGGAAAGGGUUUUUCUGGUGGGGGAUGGGCUCGCGGCCUAUCAGCUUGUUGGUGGGGUGAUGGCCUACCAAGGCUUUGACGGGUAGCCGGCCUGAGAGGGUGACCGGUCACAUUGGGACUGAGAUACGGCCCAGACUCCUACGGGAGGCAGCAGUGGGGAAUAUUGCACAAUGGGCGCAAGCCUGAUGCAGCGACGCCGCGUGAGGGAUGGAGGCCUUCGGGUUGUGAACCUCUUUCGCUCAUGGUCAAGCCGCAACAAUGGUUGUGGUGAGGGUAGUGGGUAAAGAAGCGACGGCUAACUACGUG